GCCUAAUACAUGCAAGUCGAAGCAUUGUGGUUGAAAUGAUAUGAAGAACUUGUUCAGAUUUGAUUUUCAACAUUGCAAUGAGUGGCGAACGGGUGAGUAACACGUGGGAAACCUACCUCUUAGCAGGGGAUAACAUUUGGAAACAAAUGCUAAUACCGUAUAAUAAUUAAAACCGCAUGGUUUUAGUUUAAAAGAUGGUCUUGCUAUCACUAAGAGAUGGUCCCGCGGUGUAUUAGUUAGUUGGUGAGGUAAUGGCUCACCAAGACAGUGAUACAUAGCCGAGUUGAGAGACUGACCGGCCACAAUGGGACUGAGACACGGCCCAUACUCCUACGGGAGGCAGCAGUAGGGAAUCUUCCACAAUGGACGAAAGUCUGAUGGAGCAACGCCGCGUGUGUGAUGAAGGGUUUUCGGCUCGUAAAACACUGUUGUAAGAGAAGAAUGACAUUGAGAGUAACUGUUCAAUGUGUGACGGUAUUUUACCAGAAAGGAACGGCUAAAUACGUG
rnacentral:rRNA from 1 species